rnacentral:rRNA from 1 species
AUGAAUCCUUUUGGCGAGCAGAGCUCCAGCCAUAGCACCUGGCCCGUGACUCUAUGCAUCUACAACCUUCCUCCUUGGUUGUGCAUGAAGCGGAAGUUCAUUAUGAUGCCAGUGCUCAUCCAAGGUCCGAAGCAACCCGGCAACGACAUCGAUGUGUACCUAAGGCCAUUAGUUGAUGAACUUUUACAGCUGUGGGGUGGUGUCCGUGUGUGGGAUGAGCACAAACAAGAGGAAUUUGACCUACGAGCGUUGCUUUUCGUAACCAUCAACGAUUGGCCUGCUCUUAGUAACCUUUCGGGACUGUCAAAUAAGGGAUACAAUGCAUGCACGCACUGCUUACAUGAGACUGAAAGUGUACAUUUGCCAAAUUGUAAGAAGAACGUGUACCUUGGGCAUCGUCGAUUUCUUCCGAAAAUUCAUCCAGUAAGAAAGAAAGGCAAGCAUUACAACGGCAAGGCAGAUCACCGGCCGAAGCCUGCGGAACGCACUGGUGCUGAGGUAUUUGAUAUGGUCAAGGAUUUGAAAGUCAUCUUUGGAAAGGGUCCUGGCGGACAAUCAGUUCCGAAGGGAGCUGGCGGGCACGCAGCCAUGUGGAAGAAGAAAUCUAUAUUCUGGGAGCUAGAAUAUUGGAAAGUCCUAGAUGUCCGCUCUGCAAUCGACGUGAUGCACAUUACGAAGAAUAUUUGCGUGAACCUCCUAAGCUUCUUGGGCGUGUAUGGGAAGACAAAUGAUACAAAGGAAGCACGGCAGGACCAGCAACGUUUGAAAGACCCUGAUGACCGGCAUCCGGAAUGGUUUCAAGGUCGUGCCAGCUACGCUCUGACCAAAGAAGAGAAGGUCAUCUUUUUUGAAUGCCUGAGCAGUAUGAAGGUCCCGUCUGGAUUCUCGUCCAAUAUAAAGGGAAUAAUAAACAUGGCGGAGAAAAAGUUCCAAAACCUGAAGUCUCACGACUGCCACGUGAUUAUGACGCAAUUGCUUCCGAUUGCUUUGAGGGGGCUCCUGCCGGAAAAUGUUCGAGUAGCCAUUGUGAAGCUAUGUGCAUUCCUCAAUGCAAUCUCUCAGAAGGUAAUCAAUCCAGAAGUUCUACCACGGUUACAGAACGAUGUGAUCCAAUGCCUUGUCAGUUUCGAGUUGGUGUCCCCGCCAUCCUUCUUCAAUAUUAUGACGCACCUCCUGGUUCACCUAGUCGAAGAGAUUUUCGUUCUCGGUCCUGUAUUUCUACACAAUAUGUUCCCCUUCGAGAGGUUCAUGGGAGUAUUAAAGAAAUAUGUUCGUAACCGUGCUAGGCCAGAAGGAAGCAUCGCCAAGGGCUAUGGAAAUGAGGAGGUAAUUGAGUUUUGUGUUGACUUUGUUCCUGACCUUAAGCCGAUUGGUCUUCCUCGAUCGCGGCACGAGGGGAGACUAAGUGGAAAAGGCACGAUCGGAAGGAAAUCAACGAUAUGUAUGGACGGCCAUUCUCUGACUGAAGCACACCACACUGUACUGACCAAUUCCAGCUUGGUGGCUCCGUACUUUGAGAAACACAAGAAUAUUUUACGCUCGGACAACCCGGGGAAGCCUGAAUCCUGGAUUAGGAAGGCCCACAUGGAGACUUUCGGCAGUUGGUUGAGAAAACAUUUAAUGAAUGACAAUGAUGUUGUAGAUCAGCUGUACAUGUUGUCCAAGACACCAUCUUCGACUAUAACGACUUUCCAAGGGUACGAGAUAAAUGGGAAUACAUUUUACACGAUCGUCCAAGAUAAAAAGAGCACCAACCAAAACAGUGGUGUCCGCUUUGAUGCAGCAACCGAGAAUGGGCAAAAGGUCACAUAUUAUGGUUACAUAGAGGAGAUAUGGGAACUUGACUAUGGACCCUCCUUUAAGGUCCCUUUGUUCCGGUGCAAAUGGUUCAAGCUAACAGGAGGUGGGGUAAAGGUGGACGAGCAAUACGGAAUGACAAUGGUGGAUUUCAACAAUCUUGGUUACCUUGACGAACCAUUCGUCCUUGCCAAAGAUGUCGCUCAGGUUUUUUAUUUGAAGGACAUGAGUAGCAAACCGAGGAAACGGAAAGAUAAGAAAACGAUCAGUACAUCAUGCGAUGAUCCAAAGCGCCACAUUGUUCUUUCAGGGAAAAGAAACAUCGUGGGAGUGGAGGACAAGACAGACAUGUCAGAAGAUUAUAAUAUGUUUGGUGAAAUUCCGCCCUUCAAAGUGAACAUUGACCCAAGCAUUAAGUUAAAUGAUGAGGAUGCUCCAUGGAUACGGCACAAUCGUAAGCAAGCAGGGACACAAGGGAAGAAUUGA